AGUAAAGUCAGCUAAUAAAGCUAUCGGGCCCAUACCCCGAACAUGUUGGUAAAAUCCCUCCUCUACUA
rnacentral:tRNA from 1 species